CCCCCUCCAAAAAAAUAAUGGUCCAUCCCUUAUCACGAAAAUUAUCAGUACAUGAAAGCUUUGCUCCCAUAAGGCCAUAAAUGAAAAUUUUAUUAUUCACCGGCGGAUAAAAGUAUUGUCACAUUGUACUGUUUCAUCUAAUCAUAGCUAUAGGUUUAAUGAGCGCUCGUAGCUGAGCUGUGAGCUCCAUAAUGAUAUAUAGCUGGAGCAAGAACUUCAGUCACUAGGCCUUUGAGAAAAG